UCGGUAUACCCAAGAUUAUAACAUCUUUUUUUUCCCAAAACUGGUUUUCUUUCUGGGCUUUUUUACUUAUCAAUCAGAAAGUUAUGAGCAACUAACAAGAACAAGCCACUUUGCUGCUUACCUAUGCGAGAAGAGGCUUUUAUAAAGAACUCUCCCAGUCUUGCAAGCAAUAAUUAAAAUCCAAUGAAGCGUGUGACCUUCGAUGGCUAUAAUGGUAUCUUCAGGGAACCAGAGGUCCAGAGAACAAAGAACCUACACCAAGGGCAAUCAUUCAGCCUCAAAUGGUUACUAAUCAGGACUCCUACUUCGAUGGCCCGAGUGUCCAGACCAGUACUGGGUUGUCCUGGCUGCCCCCAGGAAAGUGGAGGAAGGCCUGUCGCCUCUCCUGGCUGUGCACUCAAGAGUUGUCUAUGGCAACGGCUGGCAAAUGUGUGCGGACACAAGACUCCAGGGCUGUUUACAAGCUCAGUUUGCUGCACACACUCAGCCGGGCACAAAUACACACACACACCCAGGAUGAUAUAACGAGCGACCAGGACUCACAUGCAUCCAAUGGAAUUUAAUUAUAACUUCUGUAACUAAUUUCCGUUUUCGGGCUAGCGUAUGGGAGAAAUAUAUGCAAAGUGGCCGAAAA
rnacentral:sRNA from 1 species